CUCAGGUUACUUUGCUAAAGAGUUCUCAGCCUUAUAGUUUCUGCCCUUGUCUCUGCCUCCAGCUCCUUAAGAGCCACCCAACCCCAGCGAUUGGAUUGGGCAGCCCGUCUUGACACACCACUGUGCUGAGUGCUUGAGGACGUGUUUCAACAGAUGGUUGGGGUUAGUGUGUGUCAUCACACUCGAGUGGGGAUUAGGGGAGAGAGGCAGCCUUGCUGGAGCUGUGUGGUCUUCCCCAAGUGUGAGCUGCAAGCAAAAGAAGAAAUACCUAGCUCUGGGGGAGAAACGGGAAGAAUCGUUUCCAGCAGCUCAGAGGGAAAAAUAAACCAGCACACUUUGUUCAGAUCUUCACAGUAACUGUCGCAUACCUCUUCUGCUUAUGAAUUAUUGGCCUCCUACUUGUGAAAGAAAUCUAACACUGUCCUCACCACUUACAGAGAAGAAAAAGACUGAACUGAGAGCGGAA